UAGCGUAGGGUCCGAGCGUUGUCCGGAAUUACUGGGCGUAAAGAGCUCGUAGGUGGUUUGUCGCGUUGUUCGUGAAAACUCACAGCUCAACUGUGGGCGUGCGGGCGAUACGGGCAGACUAGAGUACUGCAGGGGAGACUGGAAUUCCUGGUGUAGCGGUGGAAUGCGCAGAUAUCAGGAGGAACACCGGCGGCGAAGGCGGCUCACUGGCCAUAUACUGACGCUGAAGCACGAAAGCGUGGGGAUCAAACAGG
rnacentral:rRNA from 1 species